rnacentral:tRNA from 1 species
GUUUGUGUAGCUUAACGCAAAGCAAAGCACUGAAAAUGCUUAGAUGGACUUUAAUGUGUUCCGCAAGCA